UACGGAGGGUGCGAGCGUUGUCCGGAAUCACUGGGCGUAAAGGGCGCGUAGGUGGCGGAGCAAGUCAACGGUGAAAGCUCGACGCUCAACGUCGAGUCGGCCGUCGAUACUGCUUUGCUCGAGCACUGUAGAGGCAGAUGGAAUUCCGGGUGUAGCGGUGGAAUGCGUAGAGAUCAUGAGGAAGACCAGUGGCGAAGGCGGGUCUCUGGACAGUUCCUGACAGCUGAGACACGGAAGGCCAGGGGAGCAAACGGG
rnacentral:rRNA from 1 species